rnacentral:guide_RNA from 1 species
AUAUAUAAUUAACAGAUCUGAGUUUAUAGUUGUGAUGAUAUGUCGUAU